GAGGAAUAUUGGUCAAUGGGCGAGAGCCUGAACCAGCCAAGUAGCGUGCAGGAAGACGGCCCUAUGGGUUGUAAACUGCUUUUGUAUGGGGAUAAAGUCAAUCACGUGUGAUUGUUUGCAGGUACCAUACGAAUAAGGACCGGCUAAUUCCGUGCCAGCAGCCGCGGUAAUACGGAAGGUCCAGGCAUUAUCCGGAUUUAUUGGGUUUAAAGGGAGCGUAGGCUGGAGAUUAAGUGUGUUGUGAAAUGUAGACGCUCAACGUCUGAAUUGCAGCGCAUACUGGUUUCCUUGAGUACGCACAACGUUGGCGGAAUUCGUCGUGUAGCGGUGAAAUGCUUAGAUAUGACGAAGAACUCCGAUUGCGAAGGCAGCUGACGGGAGCGCAACUGACGCUUAAGCUCGAAGGUGCGGGUAUCAAACAGGAUUAGAUACCCUGGUAGUCCGCACAGUAAACGAUGGAUGCCCGCUGUUGGUACCUGGUAUCAGCGGCUAAGCGAAAGCAUUAAGCAUCCCACCUGGGGAGUACGCCGGCAACGGUG
rnacentral:rRNA from 1 species